CCUACGGGAGGCAGCAGUGGGGAAUAUUGCACAAUGGGGGAAACCCUGAUGCAGCGACGCCGCGUGAGUGAAGAAGUAUUUCGGUACGUAAAGCUCUAUCAGCAGGGAAGAAAAUGACGGUACCUGACUAAGAAGCCCCGGCUAACUACGUGACAGCAGCCGCGGUAAUACGUAGGGGGCAAGCGUUAUCCGGAUUUACUGGGUGUAAAGGGAGCGUAGACGGCAGCGCAAGUCUGGAGUGAAAUCCCAUGGCUUAACCAUGGAACUGCUUUGGAAACUGUGCAGCUAGAGUGCAGGAGAGGUAAGCGGAAUUCCUAGUGUAGCGGUGAAAUGCGUAGAUAUUAGGAGGAACACCAGUGGCGAAGGCGGCUUACUGGACUGUAACUGACGUUGAGGCUCGAAAGCGUGGGGAGCAAACAGGAUUAGAUACCCCUGUAGUC
rnacentral:rRNA from 1 species